UAUUGAAUAUGAUCGUUACAAAAGUAAACAGACGAUUAAAGAAGGCACCUACUUUUUCAUAAAAAUGUUUAAAUAUUAGAGUAUGUCGAAGUGGUGAUGGCUUUAAAUUUCACUCCAGGCAAGUUAAACCAAAGUACAGUUGAAGAAAGCAAGUAAGUUUUACCCAAAAAUAGCCUGUGAUCUAAUAGAAAGUAGUUCUGAGUUACAGCUCAUCCUGCAUUAUUCAUCACCAGCACCCUCCAUCUGUGCGUUACUUGGGUUGCUAUGAAUUUGGCAACACUUUAGCAGCAAGCUACUGUUUAUAAGAAGGGAUCCCAGCAGCUAAAAGAAGCCAGUCGUUGGGAUUACUCAUUACUUGCCUUGAGAGCUGUUCCGGGGAAUUUCUUGAAGAACUAUGUCAAAAUCGGCUUUAGAAAACCAGUAAUUUGAGAACUUUGAUUGACACAUAUCAAGUGCUCCCAGAUUAGCGUUGGUCAAGUUGGUGGGCUUGGAAGAAAGAUUCUUUCUGUUGGUACCGAGUGAAGGUUUUCCUUUUCUGUGCAAGGAAACAAGAGGAUAAAAAAGGCCUUUUUCCUCUCUGCAAGAAGAAAUCUGACGCAUUGGGAACUCAAUCACCAAGACACCAUGAAUGCUUGCAGGAGGAUACAUUCUCUCCGUGCUCACAGACAGAAAACCAGUGGGAGCAAAAGUGAGAACUGGCACAGCACCUCGGGGUUCAAGCCCCAGCAUGGAGAUGAUCUUGCUACAGUCCAUACCCUUUACACAGUGAUUGUCAUGAUCCUUCUAAUGGCAAUUUGGGGAGCCUGGUCAAGAAAAGAUUCAUCCUCAUAGCAGCAAUAUCCUUUCUUUGUCAAAUAUUUAAAGGAAUAUUUGUGUCGAUUAUCCAUACCCUGGAGGUACAGAAAAACAUGGUCUCAGCAUAUUAAAGUUUACUUGAAACUGCUUAAACUGUUGCUACUUGUGGAACUGAACCUGUGAAGCAAUUUAAUAGUCAAUGUACGGAAUGUGACUUUGUGGAUAACAUAUACCUGUCUGCACUGUAAACAUGUUGAUACUACCCUCUGCAUGUAUAUGAAACUUAAUUUAAGCACAAUAUGCUAGAAGAAGGGUUCAGCUUAUGUUUUUACUGGUCAGUGUUUUGUUUGUCCACCCUCAGCUUUCCAUUUUGUAACUUAGGCUAUCCGGUCUCUACCUCUGCUAAGAUUACCUGUCCUAAUCCAUGGUAAAACAUACAAGUAGUCAAAUAAUCUGCUGUGUCACAAGAACAUAGGAAAAAAAACAAAAUAGUAAGACCAGCUAUCCUGCAGGCGAAGGAAGACCUCUGAACAAGUCAAAUGCUCAUCUCCAUUGCUGAAGAGAGUUUUUAUGGGACUUGCAUCUGCGUAUUUUUAACUUAUGGUAAUGCCUUUGUAAACUCAGGAAUAAAACCAUAAAAUAAAGUGUAUUCA
ensembl:lncRNA